rnacentral:lncRNA from 1 species
GGGCAGACACACUGAAGUCGCUAGACAUUUGAGGAACACAUCCGGGGAAGAAGACACAGGUGGCUGGUCAUGGAGAGCCCGCUGGGGGAAGAGCACACAGACAGGCACCGGCAGGCCAUUGACCAGCGGGACAAGGUGGGCUCAAUGUCAUCACAAGGGUGCUUAAGAGGGAAAGAGGAAGCCAUGAGGGUCAGAGUCAAAGGAAGACUUGAAGAUACUACACUGCGGACUUUAAAGAUGAAGGAAGGGGCGAAAACCAAGAAUGUGGGAAGCCUCUAGAAGCUAGAGAAGGCAAGGAAACAAAUUUUCCACUAGAGCCUCCAGAAGGAACACAGCCCUGCUGACCCACUGUAAUGUCUGACCUCUAGAUGUGUAAGGGUAGUAAGACUGAAAGUCUCAGAAAGGCACUGUUAAAUUCUUAUUCCUCAACUAUGCAACUCAAAACUGGGGUCCUCAGCAGUGAGCGAGGGGUGAGAGAAGACACUGUAUAAACAUGGCACAUCCUCCUGGAAAGUCAACUUUACUCAAAGGUUCUUACACACAGUGACAGCUAGCAGAGUCUAAAAUGCUGACAUUAUGACUUAGAGAUGUGAUAAAGAGAAACAUCUAUUGCAUUUUCUGUAAGUAAAUGUGGUGCCGGCAUUGAGAGAACAUACGUAAUCAGAUACCUGUUCUCCCUGAGUUUCUUAAUUUAAGCCUCGCGAUUCCUAAUUAGCAGUUAGAUUGCAUCCAUUGUUAUUUUGUCUUUGGUUAUCAAUGAUGAUCAACCUUUGCUAAACAAAGAUAUGUCAUCAUGCUGGGGACACUCAUGGAUUUUUUUUUAAAGGUUUUAACAUUUGAUAAUAGGUUUUCCAAUAGCUUGAAGGGUAGCUUUUAACAUUUCUUUUCCAGCUGAAGUAUUUCCUGAGUUCUGUCCAAGCCCUCUGUAGUUAAAGAAAAGGCUUUUUGACACUGAAUAGACAAUGUUGUGGCUUUUUUUUUCCUUCUUCAGACAAAUGUAUAGGCAUUUAGACCGCCACGUUGUACUCUCGUAAUUGAGAUACCUUGCAGAAAUGGCAAUUAAGGGUGACUCGUGUCAAAAAUAUUCAGGACAAAUUACAUUUUACUGAUUUUUAAAAACUUUCAAAGGUACUCUCUCCUCUUUCUUUCUCCUUUCUCUCUUCCUGCCUCCCUCCCACCCGCUCCUCGUUUUUUCUUUUAAAUAUUAAGUAAACUAUUUGCAUUUUUACGUCUCAUCAAAGUUGUUCCAGGUUUUUUCUGGGUUUACUGAAACUCCAAAUCGACUACUCAGAUCAAAACAAUUAGUGAAGUCUAAGGUAUUCUUAAUUCCUGAAAUGAAAACAGAAUGGACGUUCGGGACGUUCUGUUUUGCUCUGGCUACCCGCUUGGCUUCUCGCUCAGAAUAUUCUUGCUCUCAAGUUAGUUCCAGUUCUGUUUAUUUUGUCCUGAGCUCAGUGAACUUUCCAAAGCCCUACUCUUCAAACAACACUUUUUUUCCCCCGCCCCGUGAGCUGGAGUUUAUUUUGUGCUCACCCUUCAUUCUGUGAGUUGUGAAUAAUUUUAACACAAAGAAAAAAAAAUCUCCUCCUGACCACGGAGAGAAGAGGGGAUUUUAGAAUAAAGAUAAAAAUUGCUGUUUUAGCCCCCAAAGCAAAGGACUUGGGAAAGAAGAGAAAAGGGGGGAAAAUAGAACAGCAAAGGAAAAAAAAAAAAAAAAAAAACAGAAAAAAAUUUUUUAUAAGGGUGUCAGUACAAAACAGGUGUUUGAUGAAGCUCAAGCAAAACAAAUGACAAAGUUAGCAUUGAAAGGCCAAAUACGUGAUACACAUUUAAACUACUUAGGUAAAUUUAUUUAUGAAAUAAAUAUGCAGUUUUUCAAAUUUGAACAUGGAGCAAAUGUUUACAGAUUGAAACUUAUCAUUUCUUGAUUACCAGUAUGAAGUAGGGCAAUAGUCCUAUUGAAAGCCAUUCUUAAUUGGGCUCAUUGUAAAUGUUUGGUUAAAAGAAAAGAUUAAAGUGAGCUUUGGCCUCUGUGGAAUGCUGAGGCUGGUGAAAUUUCUGGUUCUAGCAUUAUCCUCAAAUUGUCUCACAGAGAAUUAUAUUUUACAAAGUUAGAAGGCGGAAGAACCCUACUCUUUGUUUUAGGUUUGCCUAGCAUCCAGUCAGAGAUGGGUAAAUAAGGACAGAACCAUGGGACUCCAGUGGCCUUACUUAGGAGGCCCAUACUAAUGGCAACGGCAAGACAGUGCUACAUAGACAUAAAUAAUCUGUGAUUGCAGAUGUGCAGGUACAGUAUAAAAAAAUUAUUCUAUCCUUAUAGUCUUAGGUGUUGGCACAUUUCUUUUGAGCCCAUGUA